rnacentral:rRNA from 1 species
UACGUAGGGGGCAAGCGUUGUCCGGAUUUAUUGGGCGUAAAGAGCGUGUAGGCGGCUUUACAGGUCCGUUGUGAAAACUCGAGGCUCAACCUCGAGACGCCGGUGGAAACCGUAAAGCUAGAGUCCGGAAGAGGAGAGUGGAAUUCCCGGUGUAGCGGUGAAAUGCGCAGAUAUCGGGAGGAACACCAGUAGCGAAGGCGGCACUCUGGGCCGGUACUGACGCUGAGGAGCGAAAGCGUGGGGAGCGAACAGG